ACACCAUUCUGAGUCAACCUAACUCUUCUGCCUUCAUCUUUCACUUAUGAGAACCCUGUAAUUGCAUUGCAAGGAGAUGCAUUACGCACAGUAGCCAAAAGAAAGAAAUAGCAUAAAUAUCCAUCAAUGGGAGAAUGGAGAAACACACUCCCAUGAGUACUCUUCGCAUCUGCAAUUGAAUAUUUUAAGCUACAGACGGGAAUAAAGCAUUGAUACACGCUACAGCCUGGAUAGAGCCUGAAAACACACAGUGACGAGGACAUCACGGUCAAUGAAGCAAACAAGAAAGCUGCCACUGUGAAGGGUGCUGCUUGGGAAUAGAUUCCAAUGGCUGUAUCCUUUAGACCAAGAAUACUUUCAAUAUUGCUGCAAAGAACGACUUUCAAUAGUAUUGCCUGUAUUCUUAUUUGAGAGGCGAAAUAAAAAGGUAUAGAAAUAUAGGUUUGUAG